CAAAAACAAACCAUUAGCUUCAAAUAAUUUUAAUUCUUUCAUCAACUUCCGUAAUUACAAUAACUCACAGAUAUCUUGAUCCAUUGCCCUGAAUUCGGCUUCUGUACUGGAUCUAGCUGUCACAUUUUGCUUCUUACUUCUCCAGGUGACUAGAUUACCACCAACAAAGGUACAGUAUCAUGAUGUUGAUCUCCUAUCAUCAAG
rnacentral:misc_RNA from 1 species